AGGGGCAGCAUGGGAUAGCUGCAUCCAGAUGGCGACCGGCGCACGGGUGAGUAACGCGUAUCCAACCUUCCCCAUAGUAGGGCACAGCCCGGCGAAAGUCGGAUUAAUCCCUAUGCUGUCCAGAGAGGACAUCUGACCUGGACGAAAGAUUCAUCGCUAUGGGAUGGGGAUGCGUCUGAUUAGGUUGCAGGCGGGGUAACGGCCCACCUGGCCGACGAUCAGUAGGGGUCUGAGAGGAAGGUCCCCCACAUUGGAACUGAGACACGGUCCAAACUCCUAGGGGAGGCAGCAGUGAGGAAUAUUGGUCAAUGGACGGAAGUCUGAACCAGCCAAGUAGCGUGCAAGGAAGACGGCCCUAUGGGUUGUAAACUGCUUUUAUCAGGGGAUAAAGUGAGGUAUGUAUACCUUUUUGCAUGUACCUGAUGAAUAAGGACCGGCUAAUUCCGUGCCAGCAGCAGC
rnacentral:rRNA from 1 species